UACGUAGGGUGCGAGCGUUAAUCGGAAUUACUGGGCGUAAAGCGUGCGCAGGCGGUUCGCUAAGACCGAUGUGAAAUCCCCGGGCUUAACCUGGGAACUGCAUUGGUGACUGGCGGGCUAGAGUAUGGCAGAGGGGGGUAGAAUCCCACGUGUAGCAGUGAAAUGCGUAGAGAUGUGGAGGAAUACCGAUGGCGAAGGCAGCCCCCUGGGCCAAUACUGACGCUCAUGCACGAAAGCGUGGGGAGCAAACAGG
rnacentral:rRNA from 1 species